UGUAGCAAUACAUGGCGUACUGCUCAGUAACACGUGGAUAACCUGCCCUUUGGACCGGCAUAACCCCGGGAAACUGGGGACAAUUCCGGAUAACGCAUAUGUGCUGGAAUGCUUUAUGCGUAAAAUGGAUUCGUCCGCCCAAGGAUGGGUCUGCGGCCUAUCAGGUAGUAGUGGGUGUAAUGUACCUACUAGCCAGCGACGGGUACGGGUUGUGAGAGCAAGAGCCCGGAGAUGGAUUCUGAGACAUGAAUCCAGGCCCUACGGGGCGCAGCAGGCGCGAAAACUUUACAAUGCGGGAAACCGUGAUAAGGGGACACCGAGUGUCAGCAUCAUAUGCUGGCUGUCCAGGUGUGUAAAAUACACCUGUUAGCAAGGGCCGGGCAAGACCGGUGCCAGCCGCCGCGGUAACACCGGCGGCCCGAGUGGUGAUCGUGAUUAUUGGGUCUAAAGGGUCCGUAGCCGGUUUGGUCAGUCCUCCGGGAAAUCUGAUGGCUCAACCAUUAGGCUUUCGGGGGAUACUGCCAGGCUUGGAACCGGGAGAGGUAAGAGGUACUACAGGGGUAGGAGUGAAAUCUUGUAAUCCCUGUGGGACCACCUGUGGCGAAGGCGUCUUACCAGAACGGG
rnacentral:rRNA from 1 species